rnacentral:rRNA from 1 species
AGCAGUCGCCGCGGUAAUACGUAUGUCACAAGCGUUAUCCGGAUUUAUUGGGCGUAAAGCGCGUCUAGGUGGUUAUGUAAGUCUGAUGUGAAAAUGCAGGGCUCAACUCUAUAUUGCGUCGGAAACUGUGUAACUAGAGUACUGGAGAGGUAAGCGGAACUACAAGUGUAGAGGUGAAAUUCGUAGAUAUUUGUAGGAAUGCCGAUGGGGAAGCCAGCUUACUGGACAGAUACUGACGCUGAGGCGCGAAAGCGUGGGGAGCAAACAGGAUUAGAUACCCCUGUAGUCCCUGUCUCUUAUACA